UACGAAGGGGGCUAGCGUUGCUCGGAAUGACUGGGCGUAAAGGGCGCGUAGGCGGCCUGGUUAGUUAGAUGUGAAAUUCCUGGGCUUAACCUGGGGACUGCAUUUAAUACAGCCAAGCUUGAGUGUGGAAGAGGGUCGUGGAAUUCCCAGUGUAGAGGUGAAAUUCGUAGAUAUUGGGAAGAACACCGGUGGCGAAGGCGGCUCACUGGCCCGUAACUGACGCUCAGGCGCGAUAGCGUGGGGAUCAAACAGG
rnacentral:rRNA from 1 species